UGUCCCUGACCUGGGUAGAGUUGCACCUGGUUUGGUGGUGCUUGUCUCAUAUCAGCCAGGGUAACUCCUUGUUUAUCCCAUCUAAGCUUUUGGUCUGUGUCCAUACCUAGUUCAUGCUCUGGACACAUGG